rnacentral:rRNA from 1 species
UAAUACUCCAUAGUUCGUUAUUACUGGAAUGUUUUUCGAACGAAAGAUCCGUCGCUUCAGGAUGAGUCUGCGGCCGAUUAGGUAGUUGUUGGGGUAAUUGCCCAACAAGCCUGUAAUCGGUACGGGUUGUGGGAGCAAGAGCCCGGAGAUGGAUUCUGAGACACGAAUCCAGGCCCUACGGGGCGCAGCAGGCGCGAAAACUUUACCAUGCGGGCAACCGUGAUAAGGAAACCCCGAGUGCCAGCACAGGCUGGCUGUCCGCCAGUUUAAACAACUGGCGAAGAAAGGGCCGGGCAAGACCGGUGCCAGCCGCCGCGGUAAUACCGGCGGCUCGAGUGGUGGCCGCUAUUACUGGGCUUAAAGGGUCCGUAGCUUGAUAAUAGGGUCCCUUGAGAAAUCCGCCGGCUUAACUGGCGGGCGUUCAGGGGAAACUUGUUUUCUAGGGACCGGGAGAGGUGAGGGGUACUGCCGGGGUAGGAGUGAAAUCCUGUAAUCCCGGUGGGACCACCUAUGGCGAAGGCAUCUCACCAGAACGGGUCCGACAGUGAGGGACGAAAGCUGGGGGAGCAAACCGGAUUAGAUACCCGGGUAGUCCCAGCUGUAAACUAUGUGCGUUAGGUGUGU